rnacentral:SRP_RNA from 1 species
ACCGGGUGCGGUGGUGCGUGCCUCUAGUCCCAGCUACUCAGGAGGCUCGGGUGGGAGGAUCGCUUGAGUCCAGGAGUUCUGGGCUGCAGUGUGUCAUGCCAAUCGGUGUCCACACUAAGUCUGGCAUCAAUAUGGUGACCUCCAGGGAGCAGGGGACCCACCAAGUUGCCUAAGGAGGGGUGAACUGGCCCAGGUCGGAAACAAAGCCGGUCAAAACUCCCAUGCUGAUCGGUAGUGGGAUCGUGCCUGUGAAUAGCCACUGCACUCCAGCCUGGGCAAUAUAGCGAGACCUCGUCUCU